UCUCUUGAUAGCUUUUUGUUUAUUUUUUUGCAUAAUAAUUGUUGUAGUAAAUUAAUAUCUUUGAGAUAUUUAAUAAUCCACGUCAAUGACCAUGUCUGGCGGGGAGUUUGACUGGGACGGUACAUCUAUCAAACUGUAACGUAGGUGUCCUAAGGCAAACUCAAAGAGGACAGAAACCUCUUGUAGAGUAAAAGGGCAAAAGUUUGCUUGAUCAUGAUUUUCAGUACGAAUACAGACCCUGAAAGGGUGGCCUAUCGAUUCUUUUGUAUUAGUAUGUUUCUAAAAAGAGGUGCCAG
rnacentral:ncRNA from 1 species